rnacentral:rRNA from 1 species
UACGGAGGGUGCGAGCGUUAAUCGGAAUUACUGGGCGUAAAGCGUGCGCAGGCGGUUUUGUAAGCCAGAUGUGAAAUCCCCGGGCUUAACCUGGGAAUGGCAUUUGGGACUGCAAGGCUUGAGUGCGGCAGAGGAGACUGGAAUUCCCGGUGUAGCAGUGAAAUGCGUAGAUAUCGGGAGGAAUACCGAUGGCGAAGGCAGGUCUCUGGGCUGACACUGACGCUCAUGCACGAAAGCGUGGGGAGCAAACAGG